UUUUUUUUGAUCUUUGGUUUAAAAAGGAAAAAAGGUCACAUUUUAGUGUUUUUUUAAAUUGUUAAGAUGGCAAAAACUUGUGUGGUUUAUGCCGCAUUACGGAAAAAAGGCGAAUCAAGCCGAUCUUUUCACAAGAUUUUAUGUUUUUUCUGUUUUUUUUUUGGCAGAAAAAUAUCUAUGUAGGAUAAUACCUAUGUAGUUAUGUUUUUUAACCCUUUCAAGCUUUGUGGUGUCACCAUGAAACCCCUUUUUUAAUAGUUUAUCACGGCGCUGCGGAGCGGUUAUCUGCCGAUACCACCGUAUAAGAAGUAGCAGUAUAUUGCCAUCUGAUUUGUGUUUGCAGUUUGAAGGUCAAUACCGUUCGUGGUCAUAAAUUAA